GAGCAGGAGAAGCAGGGAGGCAGGAUUUGGGCAGCUCUCCAGCAGCAACACCGUGGCAGACCCUGACUCAGGCCUACAAGAAUGACAACCUGAGGACAACCAUGAGAGCCAGGAACAGGCCAUCAAACACAGCUUUAGAGGUCAUAUUCCUUUUGGCACCAGAAAGAACAAUGGCCAUAAGUGAUUUGCUUUGCAUUUAUGGCUUUUACCUUGCAUGCAACUCGUAUCACUUACAAACUCCCACAGAGAGUCUCUGCCCCCCUGAGAUGUUGUUACAAACCACGCACAAGCAGAAGUCUGAACAAAGAGGGCAGCUGCCUGAAAGCCACAGGAACACCUGAAGUCAGAGGAACUGCUACUUACCAGAACAGGUUCUACUACCUGGGUGUCUGGUCUAUCAUUUGGUAGGUCUGGGCACCAAUAUCCUUCCUGAACACAGGAGGUGCUGCAAAGGCAAAAGUGGAAGAGCCUAAAAUAAAAUAC
rnacentral:lncRNA from 1 species